rnacentral:rRNA from 1 species
GACGAACGCUGGCGGCGUGCCUAAUACAUGCAAGUUGAGCGCUGAAGGUUGGUACUUGUACCAACUGGAUGAGCAGCGAACGGGUGAGUAACGCGUGGGGAGUCUGCCUAUGAGCGGGGGACAACAUUUGGAAACGAAUGCUAAUACCGCAUAAAAACUUUAAACACAAGUUUUAAGUUUGAAAGAUGCAAUUGCAUCACUCAAAGAUGAUCCCGCGUUGUAUUAGCUAGUUGGUGAGGUAAAGGCUCACCAAGGCGAUGAUACAUAGCCGACCUGAGAGGGUGAUCGGCCACAUUGGGACUGAGACACGGCCCAAACUCCUACGGGAGGCAGCAGUAGGGAAUCUUCGGCAAUGGACGAAAGUCUGACCGAGCAACGCCGCGUGAGUGAAGAAGGUUUUCGGAUCGUAAAACUCUGUUGGUAGAGAAGAACGUUGGUGAGAGUGGAAAGCUCAUCAAGUGACGGUAACUACCCAGAAAGGGACGGCUAACUACGUG